AAAAAUUGUGCCGAUAAAUUAAAAGAAAAAGGAAAGGGAAAGUUGUUUCUCAUCGACAAUCCGAUAAUCGAAUCGAUUUAUUAGACUAUUAACAAUUUAUCUUCAAAUUCUCUUCUUGAUUUGGCCGGCGGUUUCUGUGGCUCUUAGCUCUCCGACUCUUGUUGGUGGUUUACCGGAGCGUCAUCGCUGUGUGGUGGCAGGGAGAAUCUGGGCGGUUUGUUGCGACUUCUUUCUUUGGUUUGGUUUGUGGCUCUGAAGGGUCGGUAGUUGUGCCAGAGCUUUCCUCUUUUAGGGCUUGCUUCGGAGAUCUUGUUACCUGGGGGUGCAUCGCCUUAUUUCCAGAUCUCCUCUUCCUCCAGGAGGUUUUGGUGUGGACCCAAUUAGGAAAAAAGAUUUGAUUAUUGGAUAAGUUUUAUAUGGUUCUCCGCGUAAUCCAAGUUUAAGAAGAAGAGAGUGUUUGGAUACAUCUAUUAUAUAUCGAAGAUCCGAAUGAGAUUGUGUCCAAACAGAGAGGCUCCGCGUCUUUUUACAAUUUUAAUUACCUUAUUGCUCUUAAAUUUUUUUUUUUUACUCUUCUUCCUUUAUUCUUGCGUAGGGACAAUAUAUGAAAUUUUUGCCAAAGUUUUUUUUUUUUUUUCCUGCUUUUGAAUUCCCCAGAUGCUGUGCUCCAUUUUAUUGUAAGUACGUAAUACGUUUAAUGACUAUAUAAUAUAUUCAUAAUAAUUUAAUAAAAGACAGCAGACAAGAUUUGAAA